CCCGAUUAGCUGGGACUACAAGCGCCCGCCACCACGCCCGGUUAAUUUUUUCUAUUUUUUAGUAGAAACGCGGUUUCACCGUGUUAGCCUGGAUGGUCUCGAUAUCCUGACCUCAUGAUCCACCCGCCUCAGCCUCCCAAAGUGCUGGGAUUACAGGCGUGAGCCACCGUGCCCAGCCUUUUCAAAGCCUUUAAUAAGAAAAUGUUUCCUGUGAAUAAAUCUCAAGGUAGUCUUUUGGUGGGGAGGAUGCCUCCAAGAGAUGGGGAUGUGGAGCCAGGAUGAGUUUUGCCAAUGAGAAACUCGUGUGUGGGACUUGGAAGGUGAACAAGAAGAAGAAGCCAUUGUUCUUCAGUGGGAGCUGCAGGCAGCUAUAUGGGCAUUGGAGAUGGCAGGUAUGGAAUUUUCCC
rnacentral:lncRNA from 1 species